rnacentral:rRNA from 1 species
UAGUAUAGCAUCUAUACGGUGAACUGCGAAUGGCUCAUUAAAUCAGUUAUCGUUUAUUUGAUAGUACCUUACUACUUGGAUAACCGUGGUAAUUCUAGAGCUAAUACAUGCUAAAAACCUCGACUUCGGAAGGGGUGUAUUUAUUAGAUAAAAAACCAAUGCCCUUCGGGGCUCCUUGGUGAUUCAUAAUAACUUAACGAAUCGCAUGGCCUUGUGCCGGCGAUGGUUCAUUCAAAUUUCUGCCCUAUCAACUUUCGAUGGUAGGAUAGUGGCCUACCAUGGUUUCAACGGGUAACGGGGAAUUAGGGUUCUAUUCCGGAGAGGGAGCCUGAGAAACGGCUACCACAUCCAAGGAAGGCAGCAGGCGCGCAAAUUACCCAAUCCCGACACGGGGAGGUAGUGACAAUAAAUACUGAUACAGGGCUCUUUUGGGUCUUGUAAUUGGAAUGAGUACAAUUUAAAUCCCUUAACGAGGAACAAUUGGAGGGCAAGUCUGGUGCCAGCAGCCGCGGUAAUUCCAGCUCCAAUAGCGUAUAUUAAAGUUGUUGCAGUUAAAAAGCUCGUAGUUGAACCUUGGGCCUGGUUGGUCGGUCCGCCUCACCGCGUGCACUGACUCGACCGGGUCUUUCCUUCUGGGGAGCCGCAUGCCCUUCACUGGGUGUGUCGGGGAACCAGGACUUUUACUUUGAAAAAAUUAGAGUGUUCAAAGCAGGCCUAUGCUCGAAUACAUUAGCAUGGAAUAAUAGAAUAGGACGUGUGGUUCUAUUUUGUUGGUUUCUAGGACCGCCGUAAUGAUUAAUAGGGAUAGUCGGGGGCAUCAGUAUUCCGUUGUCAGAGGUGAAAUUCUUGGAUUUACGGAAGACUAACUACUGCGAAAGCAUUUGCCAAGGAUGUUUUCAUUAAUCAGUGAACGAAAGUUAGGGGAUCGAGACGAUCAGAUA